rnacentral:rRNA from 1 species
AUACGGAGGGUGCAAGCGUUACUCGGAAUCACUGGGCGUAAAGCGCGCGCAGGCGGCUAUUUAAGUUGGAUGUGAAAGCCUAUGGCUCAACCAUAGAACUGCAUCCAAAACUAUUUAGCUAGAGUGUGGGAGAGGAAGAUGGAAUUAGUUGUGUAGGGGUAAAAUCCGUAGAGAUAACUAGGAAUACCAAAAGCGAAGGCAAUCUUCUGGAACACUACUGACGCUGAGGCGCGAAGCGUGGGGAGCAAACAGGAUUAGAUACCCUAGUAGUCC